UUUCCAUUCCCUUUUGCUUUAUCGGGCCCAUUACUUCCAGCUUCAUUGUGGUCGGGGGACGUGUGGAUAGGAUAACGGCGCCGGAGUGCGCGUGUGAUUAAUGGGGGUUAUUAAAGAGCUGAGUGAGGUAAAAUUGCGCUACAGACUCGGCACUACCUCCUCGAAAAUGACUGUUCACAUAAUGCUGAUCUUUAAUUGACUGCUAAUUUCAGCGUUGCUGAACUUGCACGGGAGUUUGAGGGUUGAUUUGGUGAUGCACGAUAAACAUUAAAUUAUGUAAUACGAUCCAUAAUUCAAAAUAUGCGCAUCCUUGUACCACAAGGCCUGCUGCUUCUUUGCCCAAGAAACAUACAGUAAGCAGCUAAUACAUGUAGAAAAUGAUUGAAUACAGAAUGUCAAUAUCAGCCGCUCUAUUUAUGUAUGCAUUACAGGGACACACCUUUUGCUUCAAGGCUGUUAAAGCUGGUGUGAGGACUAUGGGGAGAAAGGGAAUGCACCAUCGCAGCCAGAUUAAAAUGAGGAUGCAAGGACAAGAUGUUGACAACUGCAGAGGGAGAUACCCGCUAUCUGAGUGAUUGUGCUAGUAACCUCUCCUUAGAUAGCCUACGCAUGCCUGUUCUACGUGGCGCAAAGUCGCAGACAGGCCAGAAGACACCGAACGCCACGGGAAUGGAAAAGAACAUGAUGUUCGGACUUUGUGACGUACACCUUUUUGAUGCAACAUAUGUAAUGCAUGGUCAUGCUUAAUCAGUAGUGUAAUGUUGAUACAUUUGAAGAACCAAUCAUAGAGACAAUUAUGUCAUUAUUGAUUUUUAUAGAACCAAUAAGAACAUGUAUCCUGGUAAAGUAGAUUUACAUGUAAUUAUUAUUCAAGUAUAAUUGUUAAUGCAUAGACAGAAAAGUCAGACUUUUCCUGUAGCUCUCGAGAUUGGAAUACUUUACUUUUGACCAUCUACAACAUUUUUCCUGUAAUACUUUUGUCUAUUUUCUUACUUUUUGUCUGAUUCAUCUACUGGCGUGUCUGUAAUACUUCAAUGAUUUUCUUCAGUAAAUUUUAUUCUAAAUUGGA